UACUCUCACACCAUGAAACGGAUAAAACACAAAGACGUGGCUGCCAUGCUUUCUUCUUUAUCUAGAUGUCAAACCGUUCAGCAAAAAAUCACGCCAUCUCAAUGUAACAUCAGUCUCUCCAAUCUGUCCUCCCUUUACAACAUCAAAUAAUGCAAUCAACAGAGAAACUAGCAUCAUCCAUUGCAUGCACCACCAGCAAACCAAUUAAUUAAGCAUAGUCAACAACCAAAUAAUAAACAAGAUAAGAUAUAACUCAGAAAACGACAGGCCUAAGCACGGGCGCUCUGCCGAUAGCUAAGGUUCGAGGAGUCUUUGACACGUAUAUAACAUUUAAACUCCUAAGAGCAUCUCGAGCCGUUGUGUCCCCCCACGAGCGAUUUUUGCGCCGGAUAAAAACUUGCUGGCGCUAGUUUUGCUUUUGGGGUGAGAAUUUUCCCAGUAGUUUAAGCCCCCAAUCCACGCCUCACUCGCUCGCCCGCCUGACCGCCUUCAUGCCGAACGCCGUGUCCGCCCCGCACCAGGGCCGGCGAGGUGCUCGUCCGCCGCCGCUCGAGCCGCCGCCGCGUCCGUCCCGUGGCGAGGUGCUCGUCCGCAGCCGCUCGAGCCGCCGCCGCGUCCGUCCCGCGGCAGGGCCGACGAGGAGCUCGUCGCGCGCCUCAUCUCGUAAGCGCCUCGCCCAGCCAUCUUGUGCCAGACCCCGCCGGGGGUCCCCUCGUCCCUGUCUGCGCCGGCCGCGGCUCAGCGCGUAGGCGGCCUGCAGCGGGCGGCUGGAGGCCGACUUUGAGCCGCCCCGUGCCCCGCUCCCUCGCCCCGUGCCCGGUCCAUCGAGCCGCUCCCUGCAGCACGCGGCCGACCCAGCCCUGGAGCUCGUCGCCGCCGGCCGACGAGGCCGACAUCAUCUGGGGCGCCGGCGUCGUCCCCGCCGGCCCACCCGUUCAGGCGGGCCCAUGCCUGCGCCGUGCCCGCCCCGAGCUCGCCCAUGUCGGUGCCGCACCAGCGUGGAGGAGCGGCAGUGGCGAGCAGGAAGAGCAGGCGGCGGGCGGCGUGUGAGCCAUUUCCACCGGCGCGUCCAGCCCAGCUGCAGGAGGAGCGCGUGAUGGCCAUGCUUCGGACCUGUGCGCGGCGAGGCGAGGGCGGUGGUGAGCCGGGCGCGGCGAGGCGAGGGCGGCGGCGUGCCAGAAGUAAUUCCGCGUGAUUGCCAUGCUUCGGACCUGUGGGCGGUGAGGGGAGGGCGGUGGCGUGCCGGGCACCGUGAGGCGAGAGAAGGAGAAGAUAAGAGAGAGGAGUUGCAGCCCAGCCUCAAGAGAGAGGAUGGGUGUGUGGAGGGGAGCACGUGUGUGGGCCAGGGAGGGAAAGGGACAAGAGAGGAGAGAGACGCUUCUAGCUGGGUCAGCGGAUGUAAAACGGCGAAUUAAGCCCCUUGGUGCCCCUCGGCUCUCUGGGUUCGCGUUGGG
rnacentral:rRNA from 1 species